GCGCUCGUAGCUCAGUUGGCAGAGCAGUUGACUCUUAAUCAAUUGGUCGUAGGUUCGAAUCCUACCGGGCGCACCA
rnacentral:tRNA from 1 species